UACAGAGGGGGCAAGCGUUAUUCGGAAUUAUUUGGGCGUAAAGGGCGCGUAGGCGGCUUGGCAAGUGGAUGGUGAAAUCCCUCGGCUUUAACCGAGGAACUGCCGUCCAAAACUGCUUCGCUUUGAGACCGGGAGAGGUGAGUGGAAUUCCCAGUGUAGCGGUGAAAAUGCGUAGAUAUUGGGGAGGAACACCAGUGGCG
rnacentral:rRNA from 1 species